CAACUUGAGAGUUUGAUCCUGGCUCAGAACGAACGCUGGCGGCAUGCCUAACACAUGCAAGUCGAACGAAGGCCCUAGCUUGCUAGGUGUCCUUAGUGGCGAACGGGUGAGUAACGCGUGGGAACCUGCCCUAGAGUGGGGAACAACCUUUGGAAACGAAGGCUAAUACCGCAUACGCUCUGAGGAGGAAAGGCUUCGGCCGCUCUUGGAUGGUCCCGCGUCUGAUUAGCUUGUUGGUGGGGUAACGGCCUACCA
rnacentral:rRNA from 1 species